GUGGGGGAUAUUGCACAAUGGGGGAAACCCUGAUGCAGCGACGCCGCGUGGAGGAAGAAGGUUUUCGGAUUGUAAACUCCUGUCGUUAGGGACGAUAAUGACGGUACCUAACAAGAAAGCACCGGCUAACUACGUGCCAGCAGCCGCGGUAAAACGUAGGGUGCAAGCGUUGUCCGGAAUUACUGGGUGUAAAGGGAGCGCAGGCGGGAAGACAAGUUGGAAGUGAAAACCAUGGGCUCAACCCAUGAAUUGCUUUCAAAACUGUUUUUCUUGAGUAGUGCAGAGGUAGAUGGAAUUCCCGGUGUAGCGGUGGAAUGCGUAGAUAUCGGGAGGAACACCAGUGGCGAAGGCGGUCUACUGGGCACCAACUGACGCUGAGGCUCGAAAGCAUGGGUAGCAAACAGGAUUAGAUACCCCUGUAGUCC
rnacentral:rRNA from 1 species